rnacentral:rRNA from 1 species
GCAGUCGAGCGACGGAUAAGGAGCUUGCUCCUUUGAAGUUAGCGGCGGACGGGUGAGUAACACGUGGGUAACCUACCUAUAAGACUGGAAUAACUUCGGGAAACCGGAGCUAAUGCCGGAUAACAUAUAGAACCGCAUGGUUCUAUAGUGAAAGAUGGUUUUGCUAUCACUUAUAGAUGGACCCGCGCUGUAUUAGCUAGUUGGUAAGGUAAUGGCUUACCAAGGCGACGAUACAUAGCCGACCUGAGAGGGUGAUCGGCCACACUGGAACUGAGACACGGUCCAGACUCCUACGGGAGGCAGCAGUAGGGAAUCUUCCGCAAUGGGCGAAAGCCUGACGGAGCAACGCCGCGUGAGUGAUGAAGGUUUUCGGAUCGUAAAACUCUGUUAUUAGGGAAGAACAAAUGCGUAAGUAACUGUGCGCAUCUUGACGGUACCUAAUCAGAAAGCCACGGCUAACUACGUGCCAGCAGCCGCGGUAAUACGUAGGUGGCAAGCGUUAUCCGGAAUUAUUGGGCGUAAAGCGCGCGUAGGCGGUUUCUUAAGUCUGAUGUGAAAGCCCACGGCUCAACCGUGGAGGGUCAUUGGAAACUGG